AUUUUCCGCAAUGGGCGAAAGCCUGACGGAGCAACGCCGCGUGGGUGAUGAAGUUUUUCGGAACGUAAAGCCCUUUCAGCAGGGACGAAGUAAGUGACGGUACCUGCAGAAGAAGCAUCGGCUAACUACGUGCCAGCAGCCGCGGUAAUACGUAGGACGCGAGCGUUAUCCGGAUUUACUGGGCGUAAAGCGCGGGCAGGCGGUGGUCCAAGUCGGACGUGAAAGCUCCCGGCUCAACUGGGAGAGGUCGUUCGAAACUGGGCCGCUAGAGGGCAGUAGAGGGGCGUGGAAUUCCGGGUGGAGUGGUGAAAUGCGUAGAGAUCCGGAGGAACACCAGAGGCGAAGGCGGCGCCCUGGGCUGCACCUGACGCUGAGCCGCGAAAGCUAGGGGAGCGA
rnacentral:rRNA from 1 species